rnacentral:rRNA from 1 species
GACGAACGCUGGCGGCGUGCUUAACACAUGCAAGUCGUACGGUAAGGCCCUUUCGGGGGUACACAAGUGGCGAACGGGUGAGUAACACGUGAGUAACCUGCCCACAACUUUGGGAUAACGCUAGGAAACUGGUGCUAAUACUGGAUAUGUGCCCCUGCUGCAUGGUGGGGGUUGGAAAGCUCCGGCGGUUGUGGAUGGACUCGCGGCCUAUCAGCUUGUUGGUGGGGUAGUGGCCUACCAAGGCGGCGACGGGUAGCCGGCCUGAGAGGGUGACCGGCCACAUUGGGACUGGGAUACGGCCCAGACUCCUACGGGAGGCAGCAGUGGGGAAUAUUGCACAAUGGGCGCAAGCCUGAUGCAGCAACGCCGCGGGCGGGAUGACGGCCUUCGGGUUGUAAACCGCUUUCAGCAGGGACGAAGCUUUUUGUGACGGUACCUGCAGAAGAAGCACCGGCUAACUACGUG